GGGGAUUUAGCUCAGCGGCAUAAGCGCCUGCUUUACAAGCAGGCAGUCCCAAGUUCGAUCCCUGGUACCA
rfam:Cavia porcellus supercont2_15 genomic scaffold, whole genome shotgun sequence.